AGGGAGAAGGAGAGAGAGAGAGAAACAUCCAUGUGAGAGAGACACAUGGAUUAGUUGCCUCCCAAACCUGCCCUGACUGGGCCUGGGAACAAACCUGAAACUCAGGUAUGUGCC